AGCCACCGCUAUUGGAAUCCGAUUAAGACAUGUGAGUCGAGAGUCUUCGGGACUCGGCAGACAGCUCAGUAACACGCGGAUAAUCUGCCCUUGGGUGGGGAAUAAUCUCGGGAAACUGAGCAUAAUACCCCAUAGGCCUGAGACGCUGGAACGCCCUCAGGCUAAAAGCUCCGGCGCCCAAGGAUGAGUCUGCGGCCUAUCAGUUUGUAGUUGGUGUAAAUGACCAACUAGGCGACGACGGGUACGGGCAUUGGGAGAUGUAGCCCGGAGAUGGACUCUGAGACACGAGUCCAGGCCCUACGGGGCGCAGCAGUCGCGAAAACUUCACAAUGUGGGAAACCGCGAUGAGGGGAUUCCAAGUGCUUGCGUUUUGCGUAAGCUGUUCUCCUGCCUAAAAAGCAGGGGGAGUAAGGGCUGGGUAAGACGGGUGCCAGCCGCCGCGGUAAUACCCGCAGCCCAAGUGGUGGUCGAUAUUAUUGAGCUUAAAGCGUCCGUAGCCUGUCUGGUAAAUUCUUGGGUAAAUCGUGCAGCUUAACUGUCCGAAUUCCGGGGAGACUGCCAGACUUGGGACCGGGAGAGGUUGGAGGUACUCCUGGGGUAGGGGUAAAAUCCCGUAAUCCUGGGAGGACCAUCAGUGGCGAAGGCGUCCAACUGGAACGGAUCCGACGGUCAGGGACGAAGCCCUGGGUCGCGAACUGGAUUAGAUACCCAGGUAGUCCAGGGUGUAAACGCUGCAGACUUGGUGUCGGAGGUCCUACGAGGGCGUCCGGUGCCGGAGAGAAAUUGUUAAGUCUGCCGCUUGGGGAGUACGUCCGCAAGGAUGAAACUUAAAGGAAUUGGCGGGAGAGCACCGCAACGGAGGAGCGUGCGGUUC
rnacentral:rRNA from 1 species